UCGAGUGUUGCCCCCCUCGUAAAAAAAGGGGGGUACCUCCCGUCCUUUGCUGGGGGCCCCCUCUUUUUUUAUGGGAGGGGGCUUUUUCAGACCUUUCUGCUUCGGCGGGGUCCCCCCCUGCCGGAACACCCUCAAAAAACUCUUUUUUAACAGUUCUGUCCGAGGAUUUUUAAUAAAAUUGAUAACA
rnacentral:misc_RNA from 1 species